rnacentral:lncRNA from 1 species
GGGCUACAAUUAUGCUAUGUUUGGUUUCAGCCCUUACGGCCCUUACUGGCGCCAAAUUCGCAAGAUAGUGACGCUCGAGGUACUGUCGAACCACCGCCUGGAGAAGCUCAAACAUAUACGAGAAUCCGAGGUUAGGACAUCGAUUAAAGAACUUUACAAGUUAGGGGUUGAGGGCGUAAGCAAUAGUAGUUCAGGAAAGGUGCUUGUGGAGAUGAAGAGAUGGUUUUGGACCUUAAACAUAAACAUGGUUUUCAAGAUGGUUGUAGGGAAGAGAUACUCUGAGGCUGAAACUUCGCACGGGAAAGACGAGAACGAUCGACGCAGAAAAGCCUUCAGGGAUUUCUUUGAACUGACGGGAACGUUCACGGUUGGGGACUCGCUGCCUUUCUUGAGGUGGUUGGAUCUAGGAGG